ensembl:lncRNA
AUACAGUUGGUCACUGUUCCAUACUGGGAGCCACUUCAAGGAUGCAGCCUUGAGAGUAAUACCUUAUUACGACCAUUUGAACUGUGUAUGUGAUUGAACUCCGUUAAGGCCUCUAUAUAAACUUUUAAGAUUCUAGCAGUCGAGUGGGUGGUAAGUUCCUUUCCUCAUUAAACCUGCCACCCACCAAUCUGGAGUGGCCUACCUCUCUUUUCCCGUCUCUCCUUGCCCUAAGUGCACUGGGCCAGUUUCAAAUUUCACCUGGGGGAACUCCAGAGGUUGUGAACAAACAGAAAUAUAAAGAAAGAUCACCAUGGAUAAAGCAUGCUUGGUGGUUUUGGAAUUUAGAGGAAGUAAUGUUAUUGUUUACAACAGUGUUACUCUUCAUUAUGAGAUUUUUUUGAUCAUUAUAGUACUCUGUAAAGUUGCAAGUAAUCGCUAACAAACUCCCUCACUAAGAGAAAUUUAUAUUAAUUAAAAAAAUCUUACAAUAAAUACGCCAAAAUUAAACAAACGAGACGAAUUUAUAUAGUCUGAACACUUUUUAGUUGCCUGUAGAAUUUGGAUCAAGUUCAAUAGACACAGGUAAAUAAACUAGAAGAAAUUGCUUGAAUAAGGUAGAUAGCAUCACUUAGCAGCUGAUUCUUGUUCCGACAAAAUUUAGAGAGUAAGACAACUUUCAAGUAAAAUGGACUUGAUUUUCUUGUUCCCCAAGAGAAAAGAAUCAAGCUACUUAGGUAGGUGGAGUGAGGACUAGAACCCAAGCCUUCUGCCUCCCAGCUGAUAGUUCUCUGAUUUUCCACAGUCCUCGAGCAUUUACACACCAGCUCCAGGCGCUACCUAAGCCAGGUGCUCUCACUUUUCCAGCCCGGAUCUUCACUCACUCCUAAGAUCCUUUAACGAGUGUUCUGAGAGCUGUGCAGUCCUUCGAUUCAUUCAAAGCAUUCUACAGCGAACACUAGGGGGGAAAAGAACAAACAAGAUAAAUUUCAAAUAUAGGAUUCAAUUACUUUUCACAACUCGAUGAUGUGUCAAAGGCACGCUGUGUUUUGUUUUGAGGGCGGGGAGAUGACUGGGAGGGAAUCCUGGGCCCCCAUUGGCUGGCCGCUCUCCGCUGCAGUUGAGCUCCAGCCGCUCGGAGAGGAUUAUUGAUCUGAAGGGUAAACGUGGAGGGAGCCACAGAGAGGGGUCCAAGCGUUUCUGAGAAGAGAGGCAGCCUCUUCCAGGAAGAAAGUGGUGUCUGCUGGCUGCCCAGCUUGGAGAACCUUCUAUGAAUAAACGGGGACAGAAUGCAAGGCAGUUUGUUGCUACAGUGAUUUAGAAGGAAAACAAGAAGGAGAGAAAGAGAAAGGUCUCACCUUCCGUGCGAGCCGGGGUUGUAGCAUCCUGCUGCCGCCGUCUCUGCUUCUGCUCCUGCAGCUGCCGUGUCUGCCACCAGGAAGACAGAACUCAGGCAAAACCACACUGAUGGAUAUGUGGGAGCAGAGGACAUCGCUCAGAGCAUUUACAGAAGGCUCUUCUAUGGGCAGGAGCUAUUUUUCAUUGCAGAAAAACCCUGGAAUAGAUAAGUAUGGGCAACUAAAGCUGGAAGAGGACAGAGAAAGAUCAGACCUGAGUUAACAUCCACUGCCAAUCCUCCUCUUUUUGCUGGGGAAGAUUGGCCCUGAGCUAACAUCCAUGCCCAUCUUCCUCUAUUUUAUAUGUGGGAUGCCCGCCACAGCAUGACUUGCUAAGUAAUGCCAUGUCCACACCCAGGAUCCGAACCGGCAAACACUGGCAGCUGAAGUGGAGUGUGUGAACUUAACCUAUACACCACUGGGCCGGCCCCAAGAACCACAGCUUUAAAGGAUGCUUUUGGUGAAAAUGAGGCAGUGGAAGAAGAAGAUUAGACACAUCUGGGGAAGAAGGUUAUUGAGAACACUUGAUUACGAAAAAACUUCCCAAUGCUUAGCAACAGCAUCAUUCUAAUAUUUUAAUUGUGUAAUGGCUAAUAAAGAGUGAUAAAUUUGACUAUAGAUAUAAGGCAAGAGAAUUUUUAGUGGCUGCUAUUUUUCUGUUUUAAUUUUUGUCUGUGUCUAUAUUAUUGUAUUUUUCCUAGAGGGAAUUAUUUUUAUGUGUAAAAGGAAGAAGUUAUUUCAAUCCUAAUGGAAAACUUUUAAAUGACCAAAAUUAUACAAAUCAUCAUUCCUAUAUUUGAUUUUUUUCCCAGUGUUAGUUUCCACUUAUCUAAACUCCAAUUACUUGAAUUUUAGAAUUCUCAACUUUAAGAUGAGCAAAGUAUUUUGAAUAGCUACAUCUGUUCAAAUCUCACAGAUGGCCUUUUGUGCUUUUUUCUGAGUUCUUUAUAAUUAUGUGUGACACUGUUCUUCU